rnacentral:rRNA from 1 species
AACGAACGCUGGCGGCAUGCCUAACACAUGCAAGUCGAACGAGACCUUCGGGUCUCGCUUCUCACGGGUGCGUACCGCGUGGGAACCCGCCCUUAGGUUCGGUAUAUCUUCUCGCCCGGAGUUCUAAUUCCGGAUAAUGUCUUCGGUCCAAGGGUUUAUCGCCUUUGGAUGUGCCCGCGUUGGAUUAGCUUGUUGGUCGGGUAAAUGCCUACCAAGGCGACGCUCCUUAGCUGGUCUGAGAGGAUGAUCAGCCACACUGGGACUGAGACACGGCCCAAACUCCUACGAGAGGCAGCAGGGGGGAAUAUUGGACAAUGGGCGAAGGCCUGAUGCAGCAGUGCCGCGGGAGUGAUGAAGGCCUUAAGGUUGUAAAACUCUUUUAGCCGGGAUGAUAAUGACAGUACCGGGAGAAUAAGCUCCGGCUAACUCCGUG